UGCAAGUCGAACGAGAAAGCUCCCUUCGGGGAGCAAGUACAGUGGCGAACGGGUGAGUAACGGGUGGAAAACCUGCCCUUCAAUGGGGGAUAACAGUUCUAACGAGCUGCUAAUACCGCAUACGACCUUCGGAUCGCAUGUUCCGAAGGUGAAAGGUGGCCUCUCUUUGAAGCUGCCGUUGAAGGAUGGUUCCGCCUCCCAUUAGCUUGUUGGUGGGGUAAUGGCCUACCAAGGCGACGAUGGGUAGCCGGCCUGAGAGGGUGUCCGGCCACACUGGGACUGAGAUACGGCCCAGACUCCUACGGGAGGCAGCAGUCGAGAAGCUUCGGCAAUGGGCGAAAGCCUGACCGAGCGAUGCCGCGUGAGUGAAGAAGGCCCUAUGGGUUGUAAAGCUCUGUCAGAUUGGGAAGAAAAUCCUACGGUUAAUACCCGUGGGACUUGACGGUACCAUCAGAGGAAGCACCGGCUAACUCCGUGCCAGCAGCCGCGGUAAUACGGAGGGUGCAAGCGUUGUUCGGAUUCACUGGGUAUAAAGGGUGCGCAGGCGGCCCGAUAAGUCAGGGGUGAAAUAUGACGGCUCAACCGUCAAACUGCCCCUGAAACUGUCAGGCUUGAGUCCGGGAGAGGAAGGUGGAAUUCCAGGUGUAGCGGUGAAAUGCGUAAAUAUCUGGAGGAACACCGGUGGCGAAGGCGGCCUUCUGGCCCGGAACUGACGCUCAGGCGCGAA
rnacentral:rRNA from 1 species